UGCGGAAGGAUCAUUAAUGAAUUCACUAUGGAGUUGUUGCUGGCCUCUAGGGGCAUGUGCACGCUUCACUAGUCUUUCAACCACCUGUGAACUUUUGAUAGAUCUGUGAAGUCGUCUUUCAAGUCGUCAGACUUGGUUUGCUGGGAUUUAAACGUCUCGGUGUGACAACGCAGUCUAUUUACUUAACACACCCCAAAUGUAUGUCUACGAAUGUCAUUUAAUGGGCCUUGUGCCUAUAAACCAUAAUACAACUUUCAACAACGGAUCUCUUGGCUCUCGCAUCGAUGAAGAACGCAGCGAAAUGCGAUAAGUAAUGUGAAUUGCAGAAUUCAGUGAAUCAUCGAAUCUUUGAACGCACCUUGCGCCCCUUGGUAUUCCGAGGGGCAUGCCUGUUUGAGUGUCAUUAAAUUCUCAAACUCACUUUGGUUUUUUCCAAUUGUGAUGUUUGGAUUGUUGGGGGCUGCUGGCCUUGACAGGUCGGCUCCUCUUAAAUGCAUUAGCAGGACUUCUCAUUGCCUCUGCGCAUGAUGUGAUAAUUAUCACUCAUCAAUAGCACGCAUGAAUAGAGUCCAGCUCUCUAAUCGUCCGCAAGGACAAUUUGACAAUUG
rnacentral:rRNA from 1 species